UUCGGGGUACUCGAGUGGCGAACGGGUGAGUAACACGUGGGUGAUCUGCCCUGCACUCUGGGAUAAGCCUGGGAAACUGGGUCUAAUACCGGAUAGGACCACACACUUCAUGGUGAGUGGUGCAAAGCUUUUGCGGUGUGGGAUGAGCCCGCGGCCUAUCAGCUUGUUGGUGGGGUAAUGGCCCACCAAGGCGACGACGGGUAGCCGGCCUGAGAGGGUGACCGGCCACACUGGGACUGAGAUACGGCCCAGACUCCUACGGGAGGCAGCAGUGGGGAAUAUUGCACAAUGGGCGCAAGCCUGAUGCAGCGACGCCGCGUGAGGGAUGACGGCCUUCGGGUUGUAAACCUCUUUCAGUAGGGACGAAGCGAAAGUGACGGUACCUACAGAAGAAGGACCGGCCAACUACGUGCCAGCAGCCGCGGUAAUACGUAGGGUCCGAGCGUUGUCCGGAAUUACUGGGCGUAAAGAGCUCGUAGGUGGUUUGUCGCGUUGUUCGUGAAAACUCACAGCUUAACUGUGGGCGUGCGGGCGAUACGGGCAGACUAGAGUACUGCAGGGGAGACUGGAAUUCCUGGUGUAGCGGUGGAAUGCGCAGAUAUCAGGAGGAACACCGGUGGCGAAGGCGGGUCUCUGGGCAGUAACUGACGCUGAGGAGCGAAAGCGUGGGUAGCGAACAGGAUUAGAUACCCUGGUAGUCCACGCCGUAAACGGUGGGUACUAGGUGUGGGUUUCCUUCCUUGGGAUCCGUGCCGUAGCUAACGCAUUAAGUACCCCGCCUGGGGAGUACGGUCGCAAGACUAAAACUCAAAGGAAUUGACGGGGGCCCGCACAAGCGGCGGAGCAUGUGGAUUAAUUCGAUGCAACGCGAAGAACCUUACCUGGGUUUGACAUGCACAGGACGUACCUAGAGAUAGGUAUUCCCUUGUGGCCUGUGUGCAGGUGGUGCAUGGCUGUCGUCAGCUCGUGUCGUGAGAUGUUGGGUUAAGUCCCGCAACGAGCGCAACCCUUGUCCUAUGUUGCCAGCGGGUAAUGCCGGGGACUCGUAGGAGACUGCCGGGGUCAACUCGGAGGAAGGUGGGGGAUGACGUCAAGUCAUCAUGCCCCUUAUGUCCAGGGCUUCACACAUGCUACAAUGGCCAGUACAGAGGGCUGCGAAGCCGCAAGGUGGAGCGAAUCCUUUAAAGCUGGUCUCAGUUCGGGUUGGGGUCUGCAACUCGACCCCGUGAAGUCGGAGUCGCUAGUAAUCGCAGAUCAGCAACGCUGCGGUGAAUACGUUCCCGGGCCUUGUACACACCGCCCGUCACGUCAUGAAAGUCGGUAACACCCGAAGCCA
rnacentral:rRNA from 1 species